AUGGCUAAAGUUAGAUAUUUUGGCAAUUCAAAUUUCCACGGUCGUAUCUGAAUCGGCGUUUAGCACCGACGGUCGUGUACUAGAUGCUUAUUGAGCAAGGUUGUCAACUAAAAUCGUUGAAGCUUUGAUUUGUACCCAAGAUUGGUGAGAAAGUCAAGAAAACCAAUUGUGGAUGACAUAAUAUAUUAAAGGAUGACGACAUUGCCAUAGAGAUUGAAGAUGCGAUUCAAAAACAAUGACAAAGGGAAAGAGAUGGUGCAUAACAAGGCUUAAGCAAACUCAAGGAAAUAGAGUUUGAGUGCGGUUAAAUGGUUAUACUUUUGCUCACAUGGAGUUAGACUUUUGUUUUGUUCUUAUUUGACCUAAGUGUCUUUUAACUCUCCUGAUGUGAGGUCAAGUUUUUGUGUAUGAGAUGGGUUUGUGCUUGAAACAUUCGUAACAAAUUAUGUGUUUUGAUACGAACCAUUUCCUACUGGAAUAUUU
rnacentral:lncRNA from 1 species